UAUUUUGGACCAUUGGGGCAAAGCUGAUCCAGCCAUCCCGCGUGUGCGAUAAAUGCCUUCGUGCUGUAAAGCACUUUUGGCAGGGACGAAAAGGCUCUGGCUAAUACCUGGAGCUGCUGACGGUACCUGCAGAAUAAGCACCAGCUAACUACGUUCCAGCAGCCGCGGUAAUACGUAGGGUGCAAGCGUUAAUCGGAAUUACUGGGCGUAAAGCGUGCGCAGGCGGUUCGGCAAGAAGGAUGUGAAAUCCCAGGGCUUAACCUUGGAACUGCAUUCUUAACUGCCGGGCUAGAGUAUGUCAGAGGGGGGUAGAAUUCCGCGUGUAGCAGUGAAAUGCGUAGAGAUGCGGAGGAAUACCGAUGGCGAAGGCAGCCCCCUGGGAUAAUACUGACGCUCAUGCACGAAAGCGUGGGGAGCAAAC
rnacentral:rRNA from 1 species